AACCUCUGCCUGGUCUCUGGUCUCCAGAUGGGCGCUUUAGGCCUGGCCUCAUUGGCAUUCUACCCACAGCGGCCUUAGUCGCAGGCGAGCUGCAGGAGCUAUUCGGGUGAAGGAGCAAGGCAGAGAGGUUAGGCUGAGGGCUGGGAGGAGGCUGUGGGGGUGCUCCGGGGUGGCUGCCUGAGCCUCAAUCUGGGGUCGGAGAAGGAUAAGUUAGUCCAGCUCGGGCCAGACAACACAUCACACUGCUGCUGAACACUGCCAACCCGGAACUUCAAACCUCUGCUCAUCAAACCCAGCAGCCAGGGAGGCCCUCCUGGUCUUCUUUGGGGAGGUGAGGCCCAUCCCUAGUGGGAGAGCUGGCAGAAUCCACCCAGCCUGACAUCCUGACAUUCUGACAUGGGGGCAGAGUCUCUAUAUUCUCGUACUCUCUGAUAUUCCUGGAUUCCUGAAGUGCCGCGAAGCUUCCAAGGAGGACCACAGCCCCCACAGACAGGGGGCAGGCCACCUAUCCUGAGAGUGUGGGAUGGAAAAGGAAGGACCUGGAGACAAGGCUCAGUUGGUAGAGUGCUUGCCUUGCUUCUGUAGCCCAGGCUGGCCUCCAAGUCACAUUUUUCUUCAGCUCUGGGAUGCAGCAUUACAGACAUCUGAGAUGAACAUAACAGUGCAUACCUGUAAUCCCAACACGCAGAGGCUGAGGCAGGAGAACUAACUGAAAAAUAGGGGCCAGCCUGGGCUACAUAGUGAGUGCGGCGAACCUCUCGACCAGCGAGAAAGAACAACCAC